GGCAGUAUGGUUUAGUGGUUUAAGCAUUUGACUGUGACUCUGGAGAGCAGGGUUCAAAUCCCUGCUCUGCUA